rnacentral:tRNA from 4 species
GCCCCGGUUGCCUAGCGGUUAUGGCGGCGGCCUUGUAAGCCGCAGGUCGCGGGUUCGAAUCCCGCCCGGGGCU